rnacentral:rRNA from 2 species
CAUCCUCCAAGGCUAAAUACUCCUGACUGACCGAUAGUGAACCAGUACCGUGAGGGAAAGGCGAAAAGAACCCCGGCGAGGGGAGUGAAAAAGAACCUGAAACCGUGUACGUACAAGCAGUGGGAGCCCCACCACUAAGCCAGUGGUGAACUCCACAUACGCAUCCUUUGCUGAGGAUACGGUUAACGGAGCGCAAGCGACGUUCAACCGCAAAAGAAGCAGAGGGGGCUUAGUGGUGGGGUGACUGCGUACCUUUUGUAUAAUGGGUCAGCGACUUAUAUUCUGUAGCAAGGUUAACCGUAUAGGGGAGCCGGAGGGAAACCGAGUCUUAAUUGGGCGUUAAGUUGCAGGGUAUAGACCCGAAACCCGGUGAUCUAGCCAUGGGCAGGUUGAAGGUUGGGUAACACUAACUGGAGGACCGAACCGACUAAUGUUGAAAAA